rnacentral:snRNA from 1 species
GUGCUCACUUCGGCAGCACAUAUACUAAAAUUGGAAAGAUACAGAGAAGAUUAGCAUGGCCCCUGUGCAAAGAUGACACGCAAAUUCAUGAAGCGUUCCAUAUUUUU